AGAGUUUGAUCAUGGCUCAGGAUGAACGCUAGCUAUAGGCUUAACACAUGCAAGUCGAGGGGCAGCAUGGUCUUAGCUUGCUAAGGCCGAUGGCGACCGGCGCACGGGUGAGUAACACGUAUCCAACCUGCCGUCUACUCUUGGACAGCCUUCUGAAAGGAAGAUUAAUACAAGAUGGCAUCAUGAGUCCACAUGUUCACAUGAUUAAAGGUAUUCCGGUAGACGAUGGGGAUGCGUUCCAUUAGAUAGUAGGCGGGGUAACGGCCACCUAGUCUUCGAUGGGUAGGGUUCUGAGAGGAGGUCCCCCANAUUGGUACUGAGACACGGACCAACUCCUACGGGAGCA
rnacentral:rRNA from 1 species